rnacentral:rRNA from 1 species
GUGGUUCCAAGAAAAGCCUCUAAGCUUCAGUCAUACGAGACCGUACCGCAAACCGACACAGGUGGGCGAGAUGAGUAUUCUAAGGCGCUUGAGAGAACUCGGGAGAAGGAACUCGGCAAAUUGGUACCGUAACUUCGGGAAAAGGUACGCCCCGGUAGCUUGACCACUUUACUGUGGAAGGGCGAAAGGGUUGCAAU